GACGAACACUGGCGGCGUGCUUAACACAUGCAAGUCGAACGGAAAGGCCUCUUUCGGGGGGUACUCGAGUGGCGAACGGGUGAGUAACACGUGAGUAACCUGCCCUUGACUUUGGGAUAACUUCAGGAAACUGGGGCUAAUACCGGAUAGGAGCUCCUGCUGCAUGGUGGGGGUUGGAAAGUUUCGGCGGUUGGGGAUGGACUCGCGGCUUAUCAGCUUGUUGGUGGGGUAGUGGCUUACCAAGGCUUUGACGGGUAGCCGGCCUGAGAGGGUGACCGGCCACAUUGGGACUGAGAUACGGCCCAGACUCCUACGGGAGGCAGCAGUGGGGAAUAUUGCACAAUGGGUGGAAGCCUGAUGCAGCAACGCCGUGUGCGGGAUGACGGCCUUCGGGUUGUAAACCGCUUUCGCUCAUGACGAAGCUUUGUGUGACGGUAGUGGGUAAAGAAGCACCGGCUAACUACGUG
rnacentral:rRNA from 1 species